UUGUGUUUUUGUUAAGGGCACACGGUGGAUGCCUUGGCACGAUAAGCCGAUGAAGGACGUGUAAGGCCACGAUAGGCCUCGGGGAGUUGCCAAUAGAGCGUUGAUCCGAGGGUGUCCGAA
rnacentral:rRNA from 1 species